GGACUACUGGGGUAUCUAAUCCUGUUUGCUACCCAAGCCUUCGUCCCUCAACGUCAGUUAUUAGAUAGAAGGUUGCUUUCGCCAUUGUCAGUCGUCAUGGUAUCAAAAAAUUUCAUCUCUACUCCAUAAAUACUCCCCUUCUUCUAUAAAACUCUAGCAAUAACGUACCCUGAUUUGGGCUAAUAAUGCCGUCUAGGUACCCUUUAAACCUAAUAAAGAUGAAUAACACUAGUCUUCUACGUAUUACCGCGGCUGCUGGCAC
rnacentral:rRNA from 1 species